rnacentral:siRNA from 1 species
UGCUUUGUUCUAUCGCCUUUGA